rnacentral:tRNA from 1 species
GCUGGGGUAGCUCAGCUGGCAGAGCAGCUGAUUCGUAAUCAGCAGGUCGAGGGUUCGAGUCCCUUCCUCAGCUCCA